CGGGGGAAAAUUUAUUGCUAUUAGAUGAGCCUAUAUUAGAUUAGCUAGUUGGUGGAGUAAUAGCCUACCAAGGCAAUGAUCUAUAGCUGAUCUGAGAGGAUGAUCAGCCACACUGGAACUGAGAUACGGUCCAGACUCCUACGGGAGGCAGCAGUGGGGAAUAUUGGACAAUGGGCGAAAGCCUAAUCCAGCCAUGCCGCAUGAGUGAAGAAGGCCUUUGGGUUGUAAAGCUCUUUUAGUGAGGAAGAUAAUGACGGUACUCACAGAAGAAGUCCUGGCUAACUCCGUGCCAGCAGCCGCGGUAAUACGGAGAAGGCUAGCGUUAUUCGGAAUUAUUGGGCGUAAAGGGCGCGUAGGCUGAUUAAUAAGUUAAAAGUGAAAUCCCGAGGCUUAACCUUGGAAUUGCUUUUAAGACUAUUAAUCUAGAGAUUGAAAGAGGAUAGAGGAAUUCCUGAUGUAGAGGUAAAAUUCGUAAAUAUUAGGAGGAACACCAGUGGCGAAGGCGUCUAUCUGGUUCAAAUCUGACGCUGAAGCGCGAAGGCGUGGGGAGCAAACAGGAUUAGAUACCCUGGUAGUCCACGCUGUAAACGAUGAAUGUUAAAUAUGGGAAGUUUACUUUCUGUAUUACAGCU
rnacentral:rRNA from 1 species